rnacentral:rRNA from 1 species
UACGUAGGGGGCAAGCGUUGUCCGGAAUCAUUGGGCGUAAAGAGCGCGUAGGCGGUCCGGUAAGUCCGCUCUGAAAGUCCGGGGCUCAACCCCGGGAGGCGGGCGGAUACUGUCGGGCUAGAGUCCGGAAGAGGCGAGUGGAAUUCCUGGUGUAGCGGUGAAAUGCGCAGAUAUCAGGAGGAACACCGGUGGCGAAGGCGGCUCUCUGGACGGUGACUGACGCUGAGACGCGAAAGCGUGGGGAGCAAACAGG